CCUACGUGAGGCAGCAGUGAGGAAUAUUGGUCAAUGGCCGUAAGGCUGAACCAGCCAAGUCGCGUGAAGGAAGAAGGAUCUAUGGUUUGUAAACUUCUUUUAUCGGGGAAUAAAGGUAUCCACGUGUGGAUAUUUGCAUGUACCCUAUGAAUAAGCAUCGGCUAACUCCGUGCCAGCAGCCGCGGUAAUACGGAGGAUGCGAGCGUUAUCCGGAUUUAUUGGGUUUAAAGGGUGCGUAGGUUGUUUUUUAAGUCAGCGGUGAAAUUUUGUGGCUCAACCAUAAAAUUGCCGUUGAAACUGGACUACUUGAGUGUGUGUGAGGUAGGCGGAAUGCGUGGUGUAGCGGUGAAAUGCAUAGAUAUCACGCAGAACUCCGAUUGCGAAGGCAGCUUACUAAGCCAUAACUGACACUGAAGCACGAAAGCGUGGGGAUCAAACAGGAUUAGAUACCCUAGUAGUC
rnacentral:rRNA from 1 species